rnacentral:misc_RNA from 1 species
UCCCGGUUAACCCGGGCAGUCUCAUUAGAGUUCCCACCUAAAAUGUUGGCAACUAAUGAUAAGGGUUGCGCUCGUUGCUGGACUUAACCAAACACCUCACGGCACGAGCUGACGACAGCCAUGCAGCACCUGUGCACAGGCCCCGAAGGGCUAUAUUGUUUCCAACAUAUUCCUGUGCAUGUCAAGCCUGGGUAAGGUUCUUCGCGUUGCAUCGAAUUAAACCACAUGCUCCACUGCUUGUGCGGGUCCCCGUCAAUUCUUUUGAGUUUCACCCUUGCGAGCGUACUCCCCAGGCGGUAUACUUAUCGCGUUAGCUUCGGCACAACUGGGGUUGAGUCCAGUUACACCAAGUAUACAUCGUUUACGGCAAGGACUAC